AACGAACGCUGGCGGCAGGCUUAACACAUGCAAGUCGAGCGAAGCCUUCGGGCUUAGCGGCGGACGGGUGAGUACCGCGUGGGAACGUGCCUUUCUCUACGGAAUAGUCCUGGGAAACUGGGUUUAAUACCGUAUACGCCCUUCGGGGGAAAGAUUUAUCGGAGAGAGAUCGGCCCGCGUUAGAUUAGGUAGUUGGUGGGGUAAUGGCCUACCAAGCCUACGAUCUAUAGCUGGUUUGAGAGGAUGAUCAGCCACACUGGGACUGAGACACGGCCCAG
rnacentral:rRNA from 1 species